GAGAAUCACUUGAACCUGGGAGGCAGAGGUUGCAAUGAGCCGAGAUCGCACCAUUGCACUCUAGCCUAGGUGACAGAGCGAGACUCUGUCUCAAAAAAUAGAAAAGCGGCACUAAAAGAUAUAGUUCAUGUGCUGCUGGAGUUCAAAAAGGGAAAGCUUACUUCCACUUAGUAUGAAAUAGUGGGAGGAGUUCAGGAAAGAUUUGCAAGGAUGUGACAUUUGAACUGGGUCUUGAAAAAUGAGUAAAAUUAGGGAAGACAUGUAGGCAGCCACUAAAGCAAAUAGAAGAAGCGAGGGAUCAGUUGAGGAAACACAGAGUAAGAGGGAAUGGAAGAAGAAUCAUGGAAAGAUACAUUAUUAUGGUUAAAUUAAGGCUCUUGGGCUUUAUUUUCUGAUACGGGAAGUGAGUGGUAGAAGUUUUUUGUUUUGCUUUUAAACAGGUUUAACCAUUUUUUUUUUUUUUUUUUUUUAGGAGAUGGAGUUUUGCUCUUGUUGCCGGGGCUGCAGUGCAAUGGUGCAAUCUCGGUUCACUGCGACCUCCGCCUCUCGGGUUCAAGCGAUUCUCCUUUCUCAGCCUACCGAGUAGCUGGGAUUACAGGCGCGUGCCACCAGGCCCGGCUAAUUUUUGUGUUUUUAGUAGAGACGGGGUUUCAUUAUGUUGAUCAGGCUGGUCUGGAACUCCUGACCUCAGGUGAUCCACCUGCCUUGGCCUCCCAAAGUGCUGGGAUUACAGACGUGAGCCACCGCCCCUGGCCUAAAUUUAACCAUCUUUAAGUAUACAUUUCAGUGACAUUAAGCCUGUUCACGUUGUGCAUCCAUCAGCAGAAUUUGUCAUUAUCCCAUACUGAAAUUCUGUAUACGUUAAACGCUUACGCCCUAUUCUCUUUUCCCCAGCCUCUGGUAACCACCAUUCUACUUUCACCUUUUGGCCACUGUGAAUGAUGCUUCUGUGGACAUUAGUAUACAAAUAUCUGUUGGAGUCCCUGCUUUCAAUUAUUGGGGGUAUAUACCCAGAAGUGAAAUUGCUGGAUUAUAUGGCAAUUCUUAUGUUUAAUUUUUUUUUUUUUUUGAGGAGCCACCAUACUGUUUUCCAUAGCAUCAUACCAUUUUACAUUCCCAAUGGUAGAAGGUUUUACAGAAGAUAGUGACAUGAUCAAAACUAUGAUUAAAAGCAAUCUGGAAAAGAGAGUAAGAUGGAGUAGAGUGGCAGAAUGACCAUGUGGAGACUUCCACAAUGGUUUAGGCAAGAUAUAAUGAGGGCGAGGGCCUGAACACAUCAUCAGCAAUGAGAAUGGAGGAAAGAGGAUACAAAUGCUGAGGUGAUAUUGCCAAGGAAAGAUUGUAAGGACUUGACCAUUGACUGGCGAUUGAGGGGUUAGGGAACAAGAAAAUUAAGGGUUUUUUUUGUUUUUGUUUUUGAGACGGAGUCUCAUUCUGUCACCCAGGCUGGAGUGCAGUGGCGCAAUCUCAGCUCACUGCAAACUCCGCCUCCCGGGUUCACGCCAUUCUCCUGCCGCAGCCUCCCGAGUAUGUGGGACUACAGGCACCAGCGACCAUGCUCGGCUAAUUUUUUUGUAUUUUUUUAGUAGAAACGGUGGGUUUCACCGUGUUAGCCAGGAAGGUCUCGAUCUCCUGACCUCAUGAUCCACCCACCUCAGCCUCCCAAAGUGCUGGGAUUACAGGCGUGAGCCACUGUGCCCGGCCAAAUUAAGGUGUUUAAUAUGACUCCCAUGUGUCACACCUGGGAGGAUGGUAGUCUUCAGAUGAAGAGUCAGGGUAUGGAGAAGUCAUGAGUUCAAGUUUGGAUAUAUAGAGUUCGAAUUACAAGUGGCACAUUGUAAGCUGUGGGGUGGACAUUUGUUGUCUUGCCUGCUGAAUACCCCUUGCCCUUUCAACUGGUAAUGGCACUCUACUUUUUUUCUUUUGAGACAGAGUUUCGCUCUUGUCACCCAGGCUGGAGUGUAGUGGUGUGAUCUCAGCUCACUGCAACCUCUGCCUCCCAGGUUCGAGCUAUUCUCCUGCCUUAGCCUCCCAAGUAGCUGGGAUUACAGGUGCCCACCACCACACCCAGCUAAUUUUUUGUAUUUUUAGUAAAGACGGGGUUUCACCAUGUUGGCCAAGCUGGUCUUGAACUCCUGACCUCAGGUGAUCUGCCCCCCUGCCUCAGCCUCCCGUAGUGCUGAGAUUAUAGGCGUAAGCCACUGCGUCCAGCCUACUUUUUUUUUUUUUCUUUAAAGGUUGUAGAAUUUAUCCUUCUUCAUCUAUGUAUUGGCUAGGCUGGGAGGGUGUGUGGCCAUGAGAAUGUGCUUCUCAGAUCUCUGACUGAGGAAAUUGUAAUUUACCAGCAGUCCAGCUGCUGAGUUCUGAAAUCCAUCCUGAGCUUUGAAAUCCAUUGCCCUUUACUCCGAGGUCUUACUUCCCAUACGCUGCUCAUAGCCAAUAACUGAGCCCAACGGGGAUUUUAGGACAGGACUGUUCCUGGGAUAAGUGAUACUCUUCCGAUGGGUGACUUUGACUCAAGGACUCCUCAAUGGCCUUGCCAAACUUUCCUUAGAACUUCAUUGCAGUCUGAGACACUUCCACCUUGAACACCUUCCCUCUGUCCUUCACUCAGGGUCAGGCCUGCGUCACUGUGCGAUGGCUCUCUCAGUCUUCCCCUUCCAUUUCCUCUCAUAAUAAAUUUUUUUAUUUAUUAUAUAUUAAUAUAUAUUAUAUUAUAUAAU
rnacentral:lncRNA from 1 species